AUCCAGCUGACGAGUCCUAAACAGGAUGAAACACGCGUCCUGGAU
rnacentral:hammerhead_ribozyme from 1 species